rnacentral:lncRNA from 10 species
GGAGAAGGCAGAGGCUUCUUGUUCAUGCCACAGUCUGGGUUGCCUCACUUUCCUGUGUGGCUUCCAGUUUUGACAUUAUCUAAAUAACUAAUUCCUCAUCUAGCAUUUAUUUAUUUUAAGAGAAAUCUCUGUGCUUUUUUGUUUAAUUUUAGAAAUUGGUUGUUUACUGAUACACUUUGGGGGAAAAUCUGGAAAUGAUUUUGAACCAGUAUGUGUGUUGAGGAGGUGUUGGCUACCUGCCUGGCAAAAGAUAAUUGGAAGUGGCAGUGAGUUAUUAUUGAAGUGGCCAUGCCAUUCUGGUGAGGAGUUCUUUUCUGUCACCACCAUGAAAAUAUCAUUCUACUGGCUUUUUGCUAAGAAGUCUGCUGUUAAUCUCAGAGACUUUUUCAAAAAUGCAUUUUUUCCAUGACUUGCUUUUGAGAUCUUUGUUUUUCUUCAGUGGUCUACAGCUUUACUACAAUAUUUGAAGCUUUUUGCUGUGUGAAUGCCCUAAUGCCAAUGAAGGUCUGUGAAGCCUUUAACCUUUUGGACAUCACAACUUCUUCUAAGCAAAAAGAAAACAAAACAGCACAAAAUGGAUUAAGACAUCUCUCCUGGUACUUAUGCUUUCUUGGAGGAGGAGGUAAUAUGGGAGAAAUGAAAAAUUUUUUAAAAGCAAUUUUCUAAGCAAAAAGGAAUCAACACUUGAUGAUUUGGAAAACCAUCAGCCCAUCCAGAUAGCGUAGCCUCAAAACAAAGUCUAAGGUCUGACCUUAAGAAAAUAGGACCUUCCAUUUUCUAGCUCCUGGAACACUUCCACUUAGCACCCAGCCAUCAGACUGUGUAUGAGGAGAGGAACUGAGACCUGCAGACCAAUAACCUAAGCUGAACUCGCAGCUGAAAGCUAACCCACCUCUAAUGGACUCUCCACUCAAAAUCCAGAUUAGUGAACCAAAUAUAUGACUGUUGUUUUUAAGCCACUAUGUUUUAGCAUGGUAUGUUACACACCAAUAGAUAACUAAAACUGUUCUCUCACCAUCUCAACAUCCUCUUCAUAUUUUCUAAAUAAUAAAAUAUGCCAUUUGAUUUUACAAGAAACAAAUGUUAGAUGGCAGGGCUGAAGUUAAAUGGGAACCUAAUGUUCACAACGACUAACAGAUUUGUAAAUUGAGCUUAUAUGUCUACAUCAAAGUUCUCAAUCUUUAUUUAUGCUAUAGUUUAAAGCAUGACUAUACUUUUCAGCUGACUCUCUUGAAAAGUGGAGUAUAAUUAAUAUAUUGAUACCUGGAUAUAUUAUAUUUUAGUUCAUGAUUCCAUUUAGUCCUGAAAAAUAGAAGGCAUUGUCAUUUUGUAGACAUCUCCUUGAUAUAUUUGUGUUAGAGUUAACUCAAUUUUUUAAAUGUAAGAUUUAACUCUAUGACACUAAUCACCUGUCAUCAGUCACUGACUAUAGUUCAAUAUCAUUUGAGUCACCAAGGCUAAGAUAUACCAGAUAACUGUUUCAGUACAGGUGAUUUGCAUUUAUCAUCUAAGAGCUUAUAAGAACCUCCUCUCACUAAAAUAUCAGAGGUCUAACUUUUACCCCCUUCCUCACAUCAAAAGCAUAAAACGCUGAGAUAUAUAAAGAGGAGAUUUCAGGGAGUUUGAGAACUUACUCAAAUGAUGUAACUCAUUUGACAAAUGACUUGCUUCAUGCAUCUUUUAGAUAGCUAAGUCCAAUUAGCUAAAAUUAUAGUUGAAUUGAAUAUGUAAAUAUCUAUAAAGUUGGCCUAAUUAGAUCCAUAGGGUGGUGUAGCAUCUGUGUUUAAAGCCCAGCAAUUGUGAAGAGGUUUUGGUUGCAAGCUUAGGGGAGGCUGUGAAGACUGGCAAGUCUAAGUCCUCCCGUGGAAUCUGAGAUUUCACAGGUAGUAUCUGAGGAUGGGUGUGAGAUUACUGCUCAAGCCAGAAAGAUUAACAGCUGCCUCAAUGGGAAUAAGAGUCACUAGGAAAUUUGAUUCUAUCAUUCCUGAAUCCAAGGUGGCGUUAACAAGCUUAUUAUGUAAGAAAGCAGCCUCUGUUACUAAUCUAAGCUGUAUCUGUUUUUCUGCUUACGCCUAUGAACCAGAACAUAAGAAGUAGUAGAACAAAUGAUAUGAAUCUACAAAUUAUGCCACGUAUUUUAAUUCUUCACUAUUUAAAUAAUUAAAAACUAAGUUUUCUUCUAAAUGUGUCACAUAGUAUAGAUUUUCUAGGGUGCACUUAAGAAAUUUGGUGUACUCAAGAUGAUCAACCUGUCUCAAAAUAAACUUAGAUUUUUUGAAGACUCUUCUGUUAAAUUGGACUUUGACCAUCACUGACACUUAUUUUGACCUUAUAAUACCAUAAAUAUGUACCCUUGAUCAAGACUCCAGCUGAUAGACCCUUAGCAUAGAUACAUAAAAAUAAUAAACCUUAUCUGAACAUCUGUUUUAAGUCAGCUUUUGCUGUGGAAGCUGUUACAAUUACAAAUUAUUUCCAUUUGAUUUCACUGAAAUUCAAUUAACUUCGAGCAAAAAUUAGCAACACUAAUUUUUAAAUAAGGAUGGGGUGAAGGUGAUAGUUAUUGUGGAGCAUUGAUAUGAUAGAAGCAGUGAGGGUAGAAAAUGUGUGAACGUUAAAUGCCUUUAUUACUCAUUUUACAUUUCAUCAGGUAUCAGAUGGCAUGAAAAUACGCUGUCUUGGUCUAUUUUCUUGCUACCACCCCUAAGAUAUCACAUACUUGGCUGUUUCUUAUUCUAAAACCACAGUCCCUUGGGGGCUAGCUAUUAUUUUAAUGAUCAGAGUGAUGAUGAGUCUCUGAAUACCUUAAGGUUUGUAUACUAAGGAUUAUCUCAAUUUAGCUAACAUAAGCUCUAUGAAUGUGUUGCAUAUAAAAUCAUUUUAUCUAAGGCCACAUAUUCUCAAAAGACAUAUUAUGUUGUAUUUUACACCUGAUGCAUUUACAGUUACCACUAACAAGCAAGAAAAAAAUCUCCUCUACAGAGUUUGAAGUAUAUAUUUUUAAAUUAUUGUUGCUUCUAAAAAUACAAAAAUAGAUUUGGAGGUUGAUAUUUUUGGCAGGGGCUCUGAAUAUUUUCAUGUGGAAGUCAGCAACCUAAUAAGCCUGACUUACUGAGUGGAUCAGUGGGUUGUAAUUCUGGUAACUUAUUUUUUAACUAGCUUGAGGCUAGGUCUAUCUCAAUUAUGCUUCAGGUUGUAUAAUAGAUUAUAUGGCAUAUUCAAUAAAGUUGAUAUUGUAUUAAACACAGUAGAGACAAUUAAUGAAUAUUUUUUUCUCGUGAGUUGAUAUUUUAAAAAGAGUUAAUUAUGUAGAAUUUUUUGAAAGGCUUUAUUCAAUAGGACUCAAUACCGGUCUGAUCAUCAUCCUACGAUAAUGGGAUAUGGGUCACAGCAGGGAGAAAAUCAAUAGUGCUGAUGGGCUAUUUUAUUUAAAUCUCAAGCAGUUUUCUCUUCAUAAUAAGAAGAUGUUUUCCAAUUAAAUUGUAAAUUUGAACUAAUAUAUUGUUUUAUAUAAGAUACUUUAUAACUUA